AGGAUGUUGGCUUGGAAGCAGCCAUUCAUUUAAAGAGUGCGUAACAGCUCACUAGUCGAGCGGUCCGGCAUGGAUAAUGAUCGGGCAUAAAUACACCACCGAAGCUGUGGACUUCCUUUGGAAGUGGUAGGGGAGCAUUGUGUUUGCGUUGAAGGUUGACUGCGAGGUCUGCUGGAGCGACCACAAAUGAAAAUGUAGGCAUAAGUAACGAUAAUGGGGGCGAGAAACCCCCACACCGAAAGACCAAGGUUUCCCCGGCUAUGCUAAUCAGCCGGGGGUUAGUCGGGACCUAAGGCGAACCCGAAAGGGGUAGUCGAUGGACAACGGGUUAAUAUUCCCGUACCCGCUCACAUUAAAAGCGACGGAGGCGCGGCGUUGGUGCGCACUGACAGAAUAGUGCGUUGAACUCUACGAAAGUAGAGGAUAGUACGAUGAGGCUACGGCCAAGUCGAUAAUCCAGCAUAGCGACUUCCUAGAAAAGCAAGUGAAGCGGCCCGUACCGUAAACCGACACAGGUGGUUGGGAUGAGAAUUCUAAGGAGCUCGAGAGAUUCAUGGCUAAGGAACUAGGCAAAAUAGGCCCGUAACUUCGGGAGAAGGGUCCCCUCACUUAGGUGAGGGCGCAGUGAAGAGGUCCAGGCGACUGUUUAUCAAAAACACAGGGCUCUGCUAAAUCGAGAGAUGAAGUAUAGGGCCUGACACCUGCCCGGUGCCGGAAGGUUAAGGGG
rnacentral:rRNA from 1 species